rnacentral:rRNA from 1 species
CUGCUUUUGUACGGAACGAAACGGCCUUUUCUAAUAAAGAGGGCUAAUGACGGUACCGUAAGAAUAAGCACCGGCUAACUACGUGCCAGCAGCCGCGGUAAUACGUAGGGUGCAAGCGUUAAUCGGAAUUACUGGGCGUAAAGCGUGCGCAGGCGGUUAUGUAAGACAGUUGUGAAAUCCCCGGGCUCAACCUGGGAACUGCAUCUGUGACUGCAUAGCUAGAGUACGGUAGAGGGGGAUGGAAUUCCGCGUGUAGCAGUGAAAUGCGUANAUAUGCGGAGGAACACCGAUGGCGAAGGCAAUCCCCUGGACCUGUACUGACGCUCAUGCACGAAAGCGUGGGGAGC